UACGUAGGGUGCGAGCGUUAAUCGGAAUUACUGGGCGUAAAGCGUGCGCAGGCGGUUCCGCAAGUCAGAUGUGAAAUCCCCGGGCUCAACCUGGGAACUGCAUUUGAAACUACGGAGCUAGAGUGUGUCAGAGGGGGGUGGAAUUCCACGUGUAGCAGUGAAAUGCGUAGAGAUGUGGAGGAACACCAAUGGCGAAGGCAGCCCCCUGGGAUGACACUGACGCUCAUGCACGAAAGCGUGGGGAGCAAACAGG
rnacentral:rRNA from 1 species